UUAUUUAAAAAAUUAAUGCAUGCAGAAAAUUCUAAUUUAUACAAUAAAAAUCUUUCUAAUUACUUUUAUAUUGUUUUUACAAAUAUAAAGGAUAAUUAUUCUUGCUAGUCUAAAAAGGUCAGAAAAGGAACCAUUUAUUUUGUUAUAUACAGAGUGUCACGAAACAUGUAGCAAAAAAUCGUAGUCUAUAAAUAAGACUUUUCACAAAAAAAAAUUUUAUUUUUAUAUAACUUUAAGUAAAUUAAUUUCUCUGAAGUUUUUUUCGUAGUUUGAACAAAGAUGUGGAUUUGCUGUCAUUUUCGGGUAGUGUUUUGGUAAUCAAAUUUUUGGUAAUCGUAUUUACCUGUACUGAUACUAUCAUCGCGUUUAACUUCUUUCAGGCAAUCUUGAUAUAAUCCGAUAUCUAACCUGAUGUCUUUAAGACAUGAAUUGAUAAGUUAACCAAAGCUAAAUUCGCAAAAGCGAUGAAACGUCGGUAAUUCUGCAAAAGUUACCAUAUCCAUGUCGCAAGAUUGUGCAAAUGUAAUAACAAAAACAAAUGUGAAAAAAAUCUGGUAAUUAUGUGGAAAUCAUUAAAAAAUACAACUUUUUUUCACAGCUCACGUCAUCUAUUAGAAGGACAAAAACAGUGAACAAUAGAUAUUACUUGUAUAAAAAAACUGGUUCACACACAGAAAAUUGAUUUUCUGAGAGCCAAUUUCACCACAGUUAGAUCAAUCAACGGUCAAAAUUAUCAGAGCAACCAACAGAUGUAAAUAUAAAUGUCCUUGUCAUCUCAAAUGGCAAAGUUCACAUUUGUUGGCUGUCCUGAUAACUUUGACCAUCAGUUAAUCUAAUCGUGGUUGGUGAAAUUGGUCUUAAAUAAAAAAAAGGUACAAAAAAAACAAUGCAUAUCUAACAAAAAACUAAUUUCUCUUUUACAAAAAUUCAAAAAGCAAAUUUAUUUUUAUCGAUGAGAGUUUUAUAUCAAAGAAGUACUGUUUAUCACUCUUACAUUUUUGUAAUCUAAAACAUUCUUCUGUAACUUCCAGAAGAUUGUUAAUCUUAGUCUAGUGUUGUGUACCAUGUUUUAUGUGUACAUAUCCAAAAAUAGUUUGUUUCUUUUUUAUAUAAUUAGAAAAUAUGCACCCUUUUUUUUAGAAUAUUGUCCUAAAAUAAUAAAAUUCAUACAAAUAAGAAGUUGAGUUCAAUUAAGUUAAAGAUUUCAAGUUAUGUUUUUCAACUGGUUAUUAAGAUUUCUCCACCAAUUAAAAUUGCAUAAAAAUUUCGUUUAGAUAUUCUUGAUCUAAUAUUCACUUCAAUUAAGUGUACAAAUUUGUUAAAUAUUAAUAUUUACUAUUUUUCGACCCUUAAAAAGACAAAUUUUUGAACUCUUUUUGAAGACCUGCCAUUUUAACAAUAAUUCAGUUUUUUUUUAAUCGGAUACGCUUAACUGAAACCAUACUAAUAUAGAUUACAAGAAUAUUUUUCUUUUGAUUUUCAAAUUAUUAUUAGACGAGUUAUGGUGAUAACCAGUAAGGCACUUCUGUGUUGCUCUACAAUUUUACUUUAAAAUACAUAUUUCUUAAUAAAAAAAAUUUGUAAACUAAGUUCAAAGUAUGUACUUUUCAACCCAUUAACUCCGGCAUUUCUAUAAUGUAUAAGUAAAAAAAAAUCUUUAAUAUGGCCUUUUUUUAUUGCCGUCAUCCUGUUGUUUCCUUUUAAGUUUAACAGCUGUCUAGCCUACUACAGUUCCCAAAUUUCUUUCAAGUUUCAUAGCCCUAAGUUCUUUACUUCAAUCCAAAUUUGCCUAAUUCCUUGGACCAUAAUUCUCUGUCUUCAAGAUUUAUUUUAUGCUCGAUACAGUAUCUUCUUACUUCAACCCAUUAUCCUAGUUUUUCUUCAGCCUAAUUUCCUAGGCAAUAAUCGGCUCUCUCAAAGUCAAGAUUUCCUUAGGAUCUGACUCUCGAAAAAUAAAAAUAAAA
rnacentral:lncRNA from 1 species